AGCAUAUCAAUAAGCGGAGGAAAAGAAACCAACAGGGAUUGCCUCAGUAACGGCGAGUGAAGCGGCAAGAGCUCAAAUUUGAAAGCUGGCCCCUUCGGGGUCCGCGUUGUAAUUUGCAGAGGAUGCUUCGGGUGCAGCCCCCGUCUAAGUGCCCUGGAACGGGCCGUCAUAGAGGGUGAGAAUCCCGUCUGGGACGGGGUGUCUGCGUCCGUGUGAAGCUCCUUCGACGAGUCGAGUUGUUUGGGAAUGCAGCUCUAAAUGGGUGGUAAAUUUCAUCUAAAGCUAAAUACUGGCCGGAGACCGAUAGCGCACAAGUAGAGUGAUCGAAAGAUGAAAAGCACUUUGAAAAGAGAGUUAAACAGCACGUGAAAUUGUUGAAAGGGAAGCGUUUGCGACCAGACUCGCCCGCGGGGUUCAGCCGGCAUUCGUGCCGGUGUACUUCCCCGUGGGCGGGCCAGCGUCGGUUUGGGCGGCCGGUCAAAGGCCCUCGGAAUGUAUCACCUCUCGGGGUGUCUUAUAGCCGAGGGUGCAAUGCGGCCUGCCUGGACCGAGGAACGCGCUUCGGCUCGGACGCUGGCGUAAUGGUCGUAAAUGACCCGUCUUGAAACACGGACCAAGGAGUCUAACAUCUACGCGAGUGUUCGGGUGUCAAACCCGUACGCGCAGUGAAAGCGAACGGAGGUGGGAGCCCCCUCGCGGGGCGCACCAUCGACCGAUCCUGAUGUCUUCGGAUGGAUUUGAGUACGAGCGUAGCUGUGGGGACCCGAAAGAUGGUGAACUAUGCCUGAAUAGGGCGAAGCCAGAGGAAACUCUGGUGGAGGCUCGCAGCGGUUCUGACGUGCAAAUCGAUCGUCAAAUUUGGGUAUAGGGGCGAAAGACUAAUCG
rnacentral:rRNA from 1 species